CCAAUCCCCAUGCUAGGUUCAUAUCUGCUACAGUUCAAUAUGCUUUCGAUCUUUUUGUCCCACCAUUUGUCCUUGUCAAUGGCAUUGACUCGCUUGGUGUGGUGAUAGGUCUCCCCGCCUAUUUUUCUUCUGCCUCUAAUUGAUGGGAUGGUCUGGCGACUGUGUAUGGGAUUGCUACCAUCGCCGUGAAUGAUCACCUCUUGGUGGUUCCACUCGAACUUCACUGCAUGAUGCAGUGUUGAUGCCACAGCCCCAGCGGCGUGAAUCUAUAGUCGUCCCAACAACAAAUUGUAAUAUGAUGGCAUGUUUAUCACUUGAAAAUUAACAUCAGACCAAGUAGUCCCCAUUUACAAACAUAAGCUAAUUACCCCAAUAGUGGACCUUUGGGAACCAUCGAAAGCUUUGACGUCGAUAGCCCCAUCCUUGAUCUCAUGUAGCCCCUUUCCCAAUGUCUUGAGUGUUACUAACAGACAAAUAUUGAGGCUGGACCCUCCAUCAAUUGGGAUUCUGGUGAUAAAAUAAUCUUUGCAUUGCACGGUGAUGUGCAAUGCCUUGUUAUGACUCAACCCUUCAAGUGGCAACUCAACUUUAUAGAAAGUGAU
rnacentral:lncRNA from 1 species